GGAGGCGUGCCUGAGCUUAAAGGACUACCUUGAUAGAGUAGACACGGAUCUAGACAACACUCCCGCCUCUU
rnacentral:tRNA from 1 species